rnacentral:tRNA from 1 species
GUUCUUAUGGUGUAAAAAACACAUUACAUUUUCAUUGUAAAACUAAAGGCACAGCCCCUUUUAAUAACAC